rnacentral:rRNA from 1 species
CCUACGGGCGGCUGCAGUGGGGAAUUUUGGACAAUGGGGGCAACCCUGAUCCAGCCAUUCCGCGUGAGUGACGAAGGCCUUCGGGUUGUAAAGCUCUUUUGUCCGGAGCGAAACGGGCGGCCCUAAUACGGUCGUCUACUGACGGUACCGGAAGACUAAGCACCGGCUAACUACGUGCCAGCAGCCGCGGUAAUACGUAGGGUGCUACUGUUAAUCGGGAUUGCUGGGCGGAAUGCGUAAGCCAGCGGUUAAAUCCCCGGGCUCAACCUGGGAAUGGCAUUUGGGACUGCAAGGCUGGAGUGUGGCAGAGGGGACUAGAAUUCCUGGUGUAGCAGUGAAAUGCGUAGAUAUCAGGAGGAAUACCGAUGGCGAAGGCAGGUCCCUGGGUUAACACUGACGCUCAUGCACGAAAGCGUGGGGAGCAAACAGGAUUAGAUACCCCAGUAGUC